UUAUCUCCAUCCCAGAGUCAGCUUCCCUGCCCGGCCUGACCUGCUUUCCUGGCUGACAGUGAGCUGCUUGUCAUUCAGGAGAUGGCUGUGACAACAGUUUGACAACCUAUUGGGAAGGUCUAUAUGAAGAUCUACAGAGGAGGUGUGAAGACCAGAUUUGGAAAUCAAUGCUAACUGAGGGUUACUGACAUGAACAAGAACCCAUGACGAGUAAGUGGCAGAAAAGGGACUUAGAACUGAGCUCUUACAAAAUAGAUGACAACAGGACUUUAAAAACAAAGGACAGGGAUCUACGAGGUCACCAGAAGCAGGGAGCCAGGAGAAUGGCUCUAAGGAUCUGCUGGAGUACAAACGGCAUGGCCCAGAUGUGUGACGGUGGGACAUGGUCACAGCGCUGAUACAGGGCGCAGGGAAUUCUCAGCUCCGGUCCUCUUGGCCGCAAGUCGGAACGUGCAUACCGCGGCAGCCUUUCUUGUGGGACGUGCUGAAAGCCUGCUCCUCCAUCUCUGCUCAUCUCCGGCAGCAGAGCACACAGAGCAAGGCGACGAUGCGACACAGGGCUAUGCAAGCCGCUUUCUGGUGACUGUUGACCAGCCAGGCGACAGGCGGCGCGGGGGCACCGGCUCCGCAUCCCUGUUAGGCAAUUAGCUGAUUGCUCUCGCCCGCAGCCCGAGCGGAGCGCGGGGAUUUCACCGCCUGCCCACCUCCACUGCAAACAGAGGCACGUUCUCCGACUUUGAUAGCUCCCUGGGUUCUUGUGAAAAACAACCACAGCGUUGCCAUAGCGUAUUUCUCAAAUACCAGCAUCAGGGGAUUGCAGAAUUACAGCAACAAAUGUUACGAGGUACUAUUUGCAAAUAGACAUGCAGCAAAAUAAUCCAAAUAGGACCAUUAAAUAAUAAUCCUCAUUAAAACCAAA